UGAAUCUUGUACUCGGCGAUUGUGAAGAGUUUCGUAAGCUUCCUCCUACUAAAGGUUCUAAGGAAGAACGUGAAGAUCGCCGUACACUUGGUCUUCUUCUUCUCAGGGGUGAAGAAGUGAUUUCCAUGACUGUUGAAGGUCCUCCACCUCCGGAUGAUUCUCGUGUUAAAGCUACUGCUGGUGGUGUUUCUGCUGUUCCUGGACCCGGGUUGGGUCGGGCUGCGGGUCGGGGUGUUCCGACUGGUCCGAUGGUUCAUGCUCAGCCGGGUCUUGCUGGUCCUGUUCGUGGUGUUGGUGGACCUGCACCGGGAAUGAUGCAGCCGCAGAUUUCUCGUCCGCCGAUUAAUUACCCGCAGCAGCCUCCUCCUAUGGUUCGACCACCUGGUGGUGGGCCUCCACCUCCAAUGCAAAUGCAAAUGCAAAGACCUGGUGGCCCACCUAUGCCUCCGCCGCCACAGUUCAGGCCUGGUGGUCCUGGACCGUUUCCGCCUCAGUUUGGUCAGAGGCCCAUGGGACCACCACCUCCACAGAUGAUGAGAGGUCCUCC
rnacentral:lncRNA from 1 species